rnacentral:rRNA from 1 species
AUGACCGAUAGCGGAAUAGUACCGUGAGGGAAUGGUGAAAAGUACCCCGGGAGGGGAGUGAAAUAGUUCCUGAAACCAUGUGCUUACAAUCCGUCAGAGCACCUUUGUGUGUGUGAUGGCGUGCCUUUUGAAGAAUGAGCCUGCGAGUUAGUGGUACGUGGCGAGGUUAACCCGUGUGGGGUAGCCGUAGGGAAACCGAAUCCUAAUGGGGUGUCAAGUGGCAUGUCCUGGACCCGAAGCGGGGUGAUCUACCCAUGGCCAGUGUGAAGCAGCUGUAAGAGGUUGUGGAGGCGCGAACCCACGUAG